rnacentral:hammerhead_ribozyme from 1 species
ACUCAGCUGACGAGUCCCUAAUAGGACGAAACGCGCGUCCUGGAU